AAGAACCUUUGAGUGAGAGUUCAAGAGUACGUGAAACCGUUCAGGGGUAAACCUGAGAAACCCAAAAGAUCGAAUGGGAAGAUUCAUCGUCAAUAUGUUUAAUAUUAAUAUAUAUUAUGAUAUGUUAAAAUUUUUUAAUUUUAUAUUAAAAAAUUUUUCAUACAUAUAUAUAUUAUUUUAUUGUUUUACAUUGUCGGCGUGCACUUCUUCCCUAGUAGGACAUCGCGACCCGUUAAAUGUUGAUUUACGACCAAAUUGGAUUAGACUUUAUAUAUUAAUUUAUUUUAAUAUAUAAAGACCAAUAUGUGUUUUCUAAUCAAGUAUUUGACGGUAAUCGUAUGGUAUUAAGUCGCAUAAUAAUAUAUUUUUGCGUUCUCUACCCGUCGCAAGCGAGGCCUUUUUUAUUAGUUUACAGACUUUGUGCUGUCUAAUAAAAAUUGUGCCAGCUGUUGGCUGUUUACGGUGUUCUAGAACUGACUUAUUUUAUUAUAAAUAAAAAUACCUGUCGGCGAUGCUAUUGCUUUGGGUACUUUC
rnacentral:rRNA from 1 species